UAUUUUGAUAGUUUAUAUAAAAUAUUGGUUUGUGGGGCCAAAGAUGUUAAUCAACUCAAGAUAAUUU
rnacentral:tRNA from 1 species